GCGCUGCAGCCAAUGGGAAGCGGCUGGGCGGGGCUGAGCCGGCGGUGGCAGCGAGGGGCAGCCAUGGCGGCACUGGCCGUGCUGGCGCUGCUGCUGCUGGCGGCCUGCGGCGGGCAGCGCGCGGCGGGGCAGAAGCGGAAGGAGAUGGUAUUAUCAGAAAAAGUGAACCAGCUGAUGGAGUGGGCUAGUAAGAGAUCUGUAAUCCGAAUGAACGGAGACAAGUUUCGACGCUUUGUGAAGGCGCCACCCAGAAAUUACUCUGUGAUCGUGAUGUUCACUGCUCUUCAGCCUCACAGACAAUGUGUCGUGUGCAAGCAGGCUGAUGAGGAAUACCAGAUUCUGGCAAAUUCCUGGCGAUACUCCAGUGCAUUUACCAAUAAGAUUUUUUUUGCUAUGGUCGAUUUUGAUGAAGGCUCAGAUGUGUUUCAGAUGCUAAACAUGAAUUCUGCUCCAACCUUCAUUAAUUUUCCUGCUAAAGGGAAGCCUAAACGAGGUGACACGUACGAACUUCAGGUGCGCGGCUUUGCAGCUGAGCAGCUUGCUCGUUGGGUGGCUGACAGGACUGAUGUCAAUAUUCGUGUGAUAAGGCCACCAAACUAUGCUGGACCGUUGAUGUUAGGACUGCUGCUGGCUGUCAUUGGAGGCCUUGUGUAUUUGCGUGGAAGCAAUCUGGAUUUUCUGUACAACAAAACUGGCUGGGCAUUUGCUGCUUUGUGUUUUGUGUUAGCAAUGACGUCAGGCCAGAUGUGGAACCACAUUAGGGGGCCACCCUAUGCUCAUAAGAACCCCCAUACAGGACAAGUGAGCUAUAUCCAUGGAAGCAGCCAAGCCCAAUUUGUUGCAGAAACGCACAUUGUUCUUCUGUUUAGUAUCCUUCUUCCUGAGAUGCAAAAAGCCUUCAAUUUUUCCACCUUAAACAGUGUCCGUAGAUGGUGGUGUUACUUUAGGAAUGGUUCUCCUCCAUGAAGCUGCUACUUCUGACCUGGAUGUGGGGAAAAGAAAAAUCAUGUGUAUAGCUGGGAUUGGCUUGGUGGUGCUGUUCUUCAGUUGGCUGCUCUCUGUCUUCAGGUCGAAAUACCACGGAUACCCGUACAGUUUCCUAAUGAGUUAAAGGAUUCCAGAAUGUAACAUCAGAAAGGCGGUGGCUCUGAAAUUGUGUGGGAUGGAAGGGAAGAGCUCAAUAUGUAUGGUUCAUGCUACCUCUCUUUACACUGAAUGAGAUAGUUAAACACUGAACCAAAGACAACGUGUAGUGCCUUAAAUAAAACAAGCAAUGUGCUCUGAAGGACAGAGUAUUAAGAUGCAAUCUCUCUCAUAAGCUUUACAUCUUCUGAAACAACUUUGAAUCUAACGAAGUUCUGAACUUUGUGUUUAGAACUACCGUGUUUCCUUAGACUAACCAGAAACAGUACUUUACAUUCAGUUGGAUAAUCUGUUUUCCAUGGUUUUCUUCCCCUCAAAUACUGACUUCUUAUUCACAUGUAACAGGUGAUGGUAGCUUUUCUGUCAUGCCUUUUCAUGGUUGAUGAGACCUCCUCAUGUACCUGCAUCUCUCUUCCUUCUGUCUGUGUUCAACUCUCGGAGCAUACUGCAGGUUCUGUUAUGGUAUGUGCGUGUCCUGGAGCUGGAUCUGAAUGCUGAGAAGAGCACGGAACUGCUGUAUGACACAAGAGAUCGUUUCACAGAUGAAGGAAGAAUUCUUCAUGUAGAAAUGACUCAUUAAAACUUAAAUUAACAUUUCACAGGGUGAUCUACUAAUGAGUUUUAUAGUUGAUAUUCAGGACUGGAAAAACAAAACAAACAAACAAAAAAAAAUAGGUGUAUUUAUUUGUUUUCCCCCCACUAAAUUACGAAAAUAUGAUAAACUCUGCCGUUCUUGAUUUGAUUGAAGUCUCUACUUGUUAUAUAGAAACUUGUUUAAUUAUUAAUUAAAAACUUUCUUUGCCAAAUACUGAAACUACAUCAGUUAGCUUGUAAGCACUGGCUUAGAGCUGAAAAAAUGUUCCCAUAGCAAUCCAUGCUUCCCUGCCCCACCACCCCCCUCAAAAAAAGAAAAAAGAAAAAAAA